CUGCCUAGCAGGACAAGAGGCCAUAUGCAGUUUUCCCCUUGGCUGAUCUUUGCUUCUUGUGGCUUAUUCCACAAACAAGAGGCAGAAUGGCAUAUACAGAACCCUGCAAAGGCCCAGCCUCAUCACAAGAGAGGAACAGACCAUAGAGGGGUGGGGCAGAAAGAGGAAUGAUUUUUUUUUAACUGCGCCUUUUAAACUGAGAAGCAGCUAAGCUCCAUAUAUACAGAAGAGCCCCAUGGAAGUCUGGGUGUAUAUAGGGGUAGUUUUCCAGGAUGCAGGAUUGUGUGGAUAGAGUCCAAAAGAUGGAGAGAGAAUAAAUUCUACAUACUUGCUCUUUUCUGUUGCCUGCAACUGGAUAAAGUAUGUGUCUACAAAACUAAAGUGUGGAGAACUGAGGAAAUGAUCCAGAGAAUUCAGCUCCCAGUUCAACGUUUGCCUCAGCCUGUUCAUUUGUUCAACCAGAAAACUUUAUAAAACGAAAUUCCUCCUGCAUAGGAGGAGGUGGAAGGCAGGUGACCAUCUGCAAACCAGGAAGAGCAUCCUCACCAAGAACCAAGUCAGCCAGCAUCUGGAUCUUGCACUUCCCAACCUCCAGAAUUGCGAGGAAAUAAAUUUCUGUUCUAUAGGCCACCCAGGCUAUCGUAUUUUGUUAUGGCAGCACAAGCAGACUAAAACAGGGACUACGCCUGACCCACUACUAAGGAAAAGAGCCAGGAUCCAAACCCAAGACCACCUCUCUCUAGAGAGUGCGCCUGGGGCCAGCAACCUGCACAGCUCCCUGGACUGCUGUCUAGCACAGGCCCCCACCACCUCACAGGGAAGGCUCAGGAAUAGCUUCUUGUUGCCCACCUUGCUUCAAGUUUUCCUUGCCUCCUCCAGUUAACCGGUGCAUGUCACAUUUUCUUUCUUCAAACACCACUCAAGUCACAACAUUCCUCUGAUCAAAGCUUUAGGUGGCUCCCCGCUGGCUACAAGAUCAGGUUUAAUCUCUUUUGGCGUGCAAGUUCCCUUUAGUCUAGCCCAAGCCUUCUUAUCCAGCCAGACUCCCCUCACAGCCUAUCCCAAAGGUUCACUGUUGUACUUCCAAGUGCCGCGAAUUAUUUGUCUGUGAGUUGCAAUGAGGGCAGUGGCCUUGUCAGUCAAAUCUCUGCGUGACUAGACUCUGGCGCAUAGUAAGUGCUCAAUCAAUAGCUGUUGAGUGAGUAAGUGAAUGAAUUGGUGCAUGCCAUUCCUCUGGCUUGCUUGCCUAUAGCACCAAUCACUCCUCCCAUCUGCAACUUGCCAGGCAGCAGGACCAAGCUCAGAUCCACCUCAACAGUAAUGGCCUCUCCAGCCACCCCAGCCCACCAUGAUCUCCCCCUCCUCCAAGCCCCUCCUCAAGGACUUUCUAUCUUAGUAACUCACUCAACAUGUGUCACUAACUGAUAUGAACCAGCAUGGUUAUCCAUGUCCAAGAAUGGUCAUUUUUACAUUGUUUGUAAUAGCAAAAAAUUGACAGUGAUCUGUGGCAGAGACUGUCAGCUGCCUCCCC